AAGAUGUUGAAAACCUGUUUGGCUCUGCAGGACAAAAUGACACACCCUUCCACCCAAGAGCCCUCUUUCUUGUAGCACUGGGACACCUCAGCGUGCUAAGGAAACAAAGAUACAGAGUCUCAGAAGCUCUAGGAACAUCUGUUUGAAAACUCUGGGCUAGAGAACACAGGCAGGGGCAUAGCCAAAGGCAAGCUGCCAGGAUGGAUAAAGACAGAUGAGGAGUGGCUGUCUCUACACUCAAGAUCCUAGCACCCUGGGCCUGGAUCCAUGGAAGGCAAAGGCCUGGGGGUUGGAGGUGAGGCUAGGGGAAGUCAGCUUCCACCUGCUGUGUCCUGGCCUGAAUCUCCCACCAUCUUCCAUAUAACAUCUCCUUUCCCUCAGAGCUGGGUCUCCCUUAUCACUGACAGAAACAAUGGCUUCUGCAGUCAUCCUGAUAGAAGUUUCCAGAGAACAAGGUCCUCAGCCAUCUAGUUCAGCACUGGAUCCUUCACCUGUAUGAUCUGCAUCAAACAGAACUGCCCCAGAUGAGUCCAGUGAGAGGAUGGGUUAUGCUUUCACUGCCCAGCAUGGUAGUUUGCCAUAAAGACACAGAUUAAAGGAGUGGCAGAGAACUGGAGUAGGCACCGCCUAAGUACAAAGGAAUCCAAGAUGCUUCCUAGAUUUGGCCUGCUGGAGCAGGUCCCCAAGAUCCUGGGAGAUAGACACACAAUGUGAGCGCAACUAGGGCUGACUCGUAAAACACUAGCUAUGUGUGGCAGUGUGGAAACAUAGGCACCAUGGACUUACAAGCCCUGAAUGCCUAUGGGCCAAUGGUCUCAGGGCGCUCUGCUGUGCAAAGGACAGAGGUGUUCCUAGGCAGCAUAGUUUCAACAGAGGAGCUAGCUCAGAGAGUGGUAAACUGCAGACUAUGCAAACAAACAAACAAAAAACAACAACAACAAAAAAACACGGCAGCAGUAGACACUGCUUUUAUUUGUUUGUGCAGAGUCCUGGUGUAGAUAUGACAAUGGAAACUACUCCAUUUCUUAAAUGAGCUGCAAACAUCUGGCAAAGCCAUUCUCAGUGCAGCCCUUUUGAAUGGAUAAUGGAUUUUUUCUGUUUUCUUUUUUUUUUUUUCCGGAGCUGGGGACCAAACCCAGGGCCUUGGGCUUGCUAGGCAAGCGCUCUACCACUGAGCUAAAUCCCCAACCGUGGAUUUUUUUCUUUUAAAGAACACAUGACAUGUGGCCUGUUCUGAUGGAGUUGUAUGGUUUGGAGUUAAAGAAGAAAGAGAUCGGCUGCAAACAAGGGUAUGACAGCAUCAGUGAGUUCAGAGACCUCGACCUGAACAGACUAAAGGAAGCCAACCCUUUCUGCACACACACACACACACACACACACACACACACACACACACACACACACACACACACAAUGAACCUUUGGAGCUGGAGAGAUGGUGGCUCAGUGGUUAAGGACACUUCCUGCUUUUGCAGAGAGAGGACCCAGGUUUGGCUCUCAGCACUUACAAUGAGUGGCACACAACCACUCUUAACUCCAGCUCCAGGAAUCUGACACCCUCUUCUGGCUUCUAGAGGCCCCUGCAUAUGUGUGGCACACACUCUCUCACACACAUGUAUAUAUCACUAAGAAUUACCAAAUAUUUGAAAAUACGUUUUCAAAAAAUAAAACAAAACCUGUGCCUUAACUGCGAGUGAGACCUGGGCACUAAGCACCUGCACUUUGUCCAACUCACUGUUCUUUUGAUUUCUCCUCUUUGAGGAAUAAACUGUCUCAUCACUGCUCCAUGCAUAUGCUGACAAUUUAAAACCAGAUCUCGAGUCUGUGGGAUCAAUAGACUCCCGGAGCUAAAGAGGUUAUCCAGAGUCUCCAUUCAAUAUUACAGUUGUUUAGAAAAAGAAGGGCGGCAUCCACCUCAAGCCACUCUUGUGGCUUUAGAGGAAUUUUACAUCCUGUGCUUUGGACUUCACAAUGUCGUUUUAAAAUCUUUUGAAAUGUAAGCUUCUUACACAUGUAUGUACCUAAAAACAAUAAAUAACAAAUUAAGAAACUACUAUUUCUCUUUUCUCUUUUUAUUUAAAAGAUUCAUUUAUUUAUUAUAUUUAAGUACACACCAAAAGAGGGCAUCAGAUCCCAUUACAGAUGGUUGUGAGCCACCAUGUGGUUGCUGGGAUUUGAACUCAGGACCUCUGGAAGAGCUGCAAGUGCUCUUAACCGCUGAGCCAUCUGUCCAGCCCCCUCUCUUUUCUCUUGAGACAGGGUCUCAUUACACUGGCUAGCCUUGACCCCUUCAGCCGUGUGAGGUACGGAACUAUGUGCACACACCAAUAUAUCCAGCUGGGACAUUGCUCAAGCAGGUACCAGAGUGUUAGCAUCUAGGAUGAAUGGGCCUCUUGUUCUGAUCUGUGUUUUACAGCUAAGGAAGCAAAGGCUCAGGGAAGUUCACUGUCUUGCCAAAGCCCCACAGCCACACAUGCACCAGCUCUACCUGUUCCAAUGACCUUGCUCUGAGCCCUUCUUAGCCUCCUGGCAGCACAGGCUCUUUCCAACCUGCCCUUCUCCUCCUUGGCCACCGAAAGCAGCUAUGCUGAUAUGUAGGUCAGGCUAACCACAAUUGUUAAGACUGCAGAAACAAGUGGGCACUCUGGUGAAGUCUAGGUCAUAAUAGGUGAUAUCCUUUUCAGUGAAAACCUGCUCUGUGCCUAGUCUCACCAAGCAGACAGGCCUAUUCAAGCAAAAGAUGGCCAGGGGGCCUGGGGUGGGUGUGGGUAUGCUCUCUGCUAGGACAUCAAGCUGAAGAAAACACUGUCUGUGAUAAGGAUUAGGGAUACUGUUGGACAGUAUUGUGCAUACUGCACCACCAAGUUGCUGCGGGUCGUCUCAGCAGGGGUCCCAGCCGUGUGCCACCUCCUACACACCUCCAUCCUUCCAUCGCUCGUAACAUAUUCCUGAGAAUGGGCAGGCUCCUUGACAAACUACCUGUUCAUCCCAGCAAGCUGGGAAGGAGGUGCCACACUGUGACAAAGGGCUUCUUCCUCAGCCCCAUACACACUCCCCUACUCUGCCUACCAGGCCUUCUCCAGUCACUGUGUCCUCAGCCCCUACAGUCCUCAGUGGGUAUGCUACCCAGGGUCAGCAGAGAUUCUCAGCCGCAUGCCCUGCGUUCAAGCUCCACACCAGCUAAGACUAGCAGCUGGCUUCUCGUAGAUCAUUUCAUCCAGUUUCUGCACUCCCAUCCUUGGCAGUGACCUGCUGUGCCAACAGCAGUCUACGCAUUAGAGCUAACAUGGAGAUUAGCAGUCAGUUUGCAUAUGGUAUUCAGAGCUCCACAGGAGUGCUUCCAUAGGUUUACAAUUACCUUGUUAUCAAAUUGUCCUUUCUCAGAGAAACCUAGAAUGGUUUCUGUACUUUCUCUUAGCUAACUACUUAUGUACCUCUUUCCCAAAAAGGAAGAGAAGUUAGAGUACAUCCCAGCCCCAGAGUCUGCUACACAAUGGAAGCUUAAAGGAUGCAUGGAACAGUGUGGCCUUAAAAGCGAACUCCCUUUGAAAAACUGCAAUUCCUGUUGCUUCAUCUUCAGAUUCUGAGCAGACCACCACCCACUCCCCCUUGCACAGCUGCCCCAAAGGGGCCAGGGAAGGGACUGGAACGAUGAGGGGGAUGUACUCAAGACCAGUUCCGUGUGUCCUCAUCACUCACCAGCUCAAAGCAAGCCUGCACCUAUCCAUGUGUCUCCAUGAGGACUUUCGAACUCUAUUCCCGACAACAUUCCAGACCCUGACAGAGCUCCUGCUCUAGGCAGGCUGCUGCAGUUCCAACCUGGGAUGGGCCUCUGUUCGCUAAGCUUGAGGUGGAGCACGGGAUAAACCCACAGCCACACGAGGCUUUUAAAUGUUGGAGCCAACCAUCCCCACCCUUAUUUUUACAAAGCUGCCAUAAAACCACCUUUCAGGGCCAAGUUAUUUCUCCCACAAAUUAAUGUCCUCUGGCAACUUCUGAGCUAGUAGUCCGCGUCCAUCAGAGAAGACAUCAGGCCAGCGGGGAAACUCCUAGGGCCCCUGCCCUGGAGUACUUUUGAGGGCUCUGUCUGAAUGAUGAGGAGCACAGGGCUGCCCUGGCAGGCCAGGUUUCAUUUAACCAUAUUGAGUGGCACAGCCACACCAAAAUUCUUCGAGGGACAGGAAGAAGGGAGUGAAAAGCAAAGGAAAUGAACACUCCCUGCUCUGGCCCACACUUUCUUAAGCAUGGCAAAGACUCAAGGGGAGCCUAGAAAAAGCACUACAGGGUGGAUGAGCAGCCGAGCCAGUACUUGUACCCACUGUGGGACAUGGAGCUUAGUGCGGCAAGCGGCAGCACAGGCGGCUCAUCCCACGGCAGGUGCCCAGGCCCUACUCCCAGCCCCUCAGCCAGCAGCACUCUUACUUGCCAUCUGGGAGCACAGGGAUGGCCUCACGGAAGCCAGCUUAGGGCGAGGCAGAGCUGGAGGCCACCAUAGGGUGGGCCACCUUACAUCACUGACACAUUUUUAACUAUAAAGAUAAUUAUCCUGGGUCCUUUCAAAGCCCAGCUUUUAGUGAGAAGUUGCCACAUAAUCUUUCUAAACAAGGAAACUGAGGCACCGGGCUACCUAGGUCAGGGGCUAGAGAGCAGACACUAAAGCUCUGCAGGCUGUGGGGCUCCUGUUGCCCCAUCUGUGCCAGGACUUAGCCGCAGAUGCCAAAUAUAGCAAGAGGUACUGCUGUGUAUAAAUGAACUUCAUUACAGAGUCAGACUCUCCCUCUGGAGAGGCUGUGAAGGCUGUCACCAUCCCUCAGAUAUAUCUUCUUAAAGACCUUCUUCUCAAAGCAUUGGAAAGAGGUGUGCUGGGGCCAGUACAGAGCCCAAAACACUGGGCUUCAUCCACUGUGACUGCUCCCAGGGGGGUGCUCUGUGAUGAGGCAGUCCCCAUGGUCCCCCUUGUAUUGUGAGGUCUCUCUAGGCUUCUAGGAUGAGACAGUUGGGAAGGUCUGGGUGGGGACAGAUGGAGCCCUUCAUUUCUCCUUUCGUACCCACCCUCCUCAGGUGCCUGCCCCUCUGGAGGCUACUGGGUUUCAUCAAGACUACUUUUGGUGUCCCACUCUGUCACUGCUUCAAAUUUAAGUGUCAAACUUCAGUAAUAAUCUGCUUUUAGCACCUCUUCAUCCUAAAUGAUGACAAGUGUCACUCAGAACGUCUAGUCAGCUCUACCACUGGUACAGCAGAGCUUAGAAUAUGCAGCCAGGAUGAUGGCCUGUGAGUCCCAGGACUGUGGGGCUAUCCCUGAGCUUGGUUACUUGGACGUCUUCACACUGGGAGUCUGCUGUGUCCCCCCAGGGAAUCUCUGGCACCCUGAACCUUGCCAAGGACAUGUGAUUGGGAAUGUAACAAGGGCAACCUUGGAGAACUCUGAGCCUUGAGACUGGGGCAAUGAUUCUAAACUCCAGCCUCUGUAUAAAACAGCAAGGAACUGUUUUAAGGCAACACUACGUAACUACCUAUGUUGCCUAGGCCCAGGAGUGGUGCGAUGGUUUGAAUAAGUUUGGCCCAGGGAGCUAUUAGGAGGUAUGGCCUUGUUUGAGGAAGUGUGUCACUGUGGGAAUGGGCUUUGAGGCUCCUAUGCUCAGGAUCUGCCCACUAUGGAAUGAGACUCUCCUCCUGGCUACCUUCAGAUCAAGAUGUAGAACUCUGAGCUCCUUCUCCAGCACCAUGUCUGCCUCCAGACUGCCAUGUUUCCUGCCAUGAUGAUAAUGGAUUGAAUUUCUGACUGUUAAGCCAGCCCCAAUUAAACACUUUCCUUUGUAAGAGUUGCCUUGGUCAUGGUGCCUCUUCAGAGAAAUGAAACCCUAAGACAAGUGGUAAGUGCCACCCUUGUGGCUGAGUAUCAGUGAUGCAGCAGCUCACUUAUCCAUUAAGAAACUAGGCUUUUGCCUUACUUCAUUAUUCAUUGACCUAAAAUAAAUAUUCAAUAAACUACUAGCACUUCUGUUACAGAUACAGGCCCUCCAGAACACAAGGAGUAGACAAAUAUUCACAUCUAGCACGCAGCUCAGGAGAUCUCCUGACAUGGCUGUUACCACACACCAACACUGACCGCACUAACAAGCAAAGACCAAGUGAAAAAUGGUCAGAGAAAUGGGAAGGGAUCAAUGGGUAUUUGUAAUACUCACAUCUGAACCUGUUCCCUACCCCUGUCGUUGAAUGUCAAGUGAAUCUGACCUCCAAAGACCACAAGUUGUCCACAAGCCCUGGUCUCCACCUGUCUUCUCCUGUGCUGCUGAUCUGGGCCUGAUGCGCUGUGGAUGUCAGAAGCUUCCUUCAAAGCAGGGUCAGAAAGGAGGGUUUGGGUGAGCUAAUCCCUUCUGCAGACCCUGAUGGGUACAGGACAUAUUUGCAAAGUGCCUGCUGGAAGCCUGAGAUGAAGAGAAGCUGUCACUUUGCCAUUUACAUGUUAAUCAGAGUAGCAGUGAAAGGUCCUAAGAUGAACCAUGUCCCUCUCAUUCCUGGGAAGAAAGGACAGUGGCAGGAGGGUGACCAGGUAGAUGACCCAAACCAUAGAGGACAGGGUUGGCACUAGAAUAAGGUUGACCAGGUAAAGGUCAAACUCAGGGACUAACCCCCACCCCUGGCCCAGGUACAAAAAGAACCCAUAGAUGGGCUGCAUAGUGCCAAAACAAACAAACAAACAAACAAACAAACAAAAAAAAAGAGUGACCUCCCACAAAGACCUCCCAAGCUAGGGUGAUCAAGUUCAAGUACAUAUUCUGAUGUGGCCAGCCUGGGGUGGAGGCCAAAUUCCAAAUUUCUACCAAAUGGCUGAGCAAUGCUAGGUGCUGGUGGGAGAACUGCCUGCCCACUGUGGGCCAGAAGCUUUCCAUGGCCACUCUCAGGCAUCCGACAAGGGUUUGCUAUGAUGGCAAUCUGCUCCAGGUCUAUACUCUUCCAGAAAGCCUACCAGACUCCGUUUUCCCCAGCUCUCCCGCCAUCCUACCCAAGGACUUUGUAGAAACAGUUAUCUGCCCCAAGUCUGAUGGGUGUGUAAAGACCUUUAACUCACCUCCUUCCAAACUAGGAGGCUCUGGGCCAAGUUUCCAAAGUCUCGAGCAAGGUACUAAACACCUCUGGGCCUCAGCAUAUCUUCCAAUAUCUCACAGGAAUACUAUGAAGCUAAAAUGAACUGACAGGGGUUCAAAUCCAAAUAGAAGCUGUGAUGGCCUCCAGCUGCAGCCUCAGUUCCAGGUCCCCAUAGAUCUGGGCAAGAAUCUGAGACUUAUACCUUACUUGCCCAAGAAACCACCUCUUCACUUUGGAAAGGGGACAACUUGAAUCCAUGAACCCUCUUUCUGAAUGGACUCCUAGAGCUGCCCAACACCAGCAAAUCAAAUGUAGACUUGUCCAGAGGCUUAGUUCCCUUCCUGGAAUCCUGUGACAUGGCUUGAGGCUCCACUUGCUCUUCAGAGCCGUGACCCACUCUUUCAACACCCACAUUUCUUAGGGCUCCAGACACGAUCCCAUCAUGCUCAAGAAUAUUUGUCUGGUCCUGCCAGGCUCUUCUCAUGUACUGGGUGCCCAUAUACCUAUACCUGGAAGACAAAUCUAACACUGUCCAACAGGCUGAGAGCCAGCGAGAUGGUUCAGUGGGGAAAAGCAUCCAGUGCCAAACAGGGGAAGGAGAGAAGUGCUACCCAUGGCACCCAACUUUAGCAGAAGAAUGUCAGGCAAAUAGAGGCUGGAGGAAGAGAGCUGGCCUCUCAUGACUGUCUCCUCUGCUGGCACAGUCACUCAAACACAUGUGACCCUACCAGGCUGGUCUGCUCCUUUCUCAGCAGCUGCUUCAGAUGCUACUCUUCCGAGUACUCCCCACCCUCCCCUUUCUUCAGGCUAGCCAGCUGUGUGCUUCCUCAGUUGUUUUUCUGAGAUAUGGGUUCUACUAAAUCCUAGUUAUACAUACUUUCAGUGACUUCCUUGGACCCAAUGGAUAGUUUGUCCUGACCAGGCUCUGGCUGAUCCAACAGGCACGCCAUGCUCCCAUGCCACACUCUAGCAAGGGACAGCUGCCUCCCCUCCUGCUCCAAGGAAAGCAGACACAUGAUGUGGCUUUUUGUACAGUGUCAGGGUAGAACUGGGGUCCCGAUGACCCUUAGAGAUAUGCACUGAUGUGAGUUCACUGCUUAUAAAGGAAGCCUCUGAGAGUUGUACUAUGUUGUAGGACCGAGCAUUUCUUUCGUUUUCUAAAAGAGAUUUAAAAAAAAAAAAAAAAAGCCACCCUUCCCUGCACCCAAAAGGACUACCCAAGAGAGUUCUAGUCUAACUUUCAAAGGUGACAUUGUCAAUCUUGGGGUCAGAAGGAGGAAUUAAGCCACACUUAACGGAGUCAACUCGAGUCCUGUGGGAAGGAAGUGCAGUAGAGAGCUGGAUCAUCUAUGUGGCAUGGUUUUCUUCAGUUCUCCACUGAGGCUGGAAACCGCACAAAAGAGGCCUAAUCCAGAUGGCUGAAACCACAGAAUGUUCUAGAUGAAUUACCCUGUCAACUGGGAGAGGCUGCUGAUGCUGUGCUUGGGGUGGCAGAGGGGCAUAUCCUGAAAGGUGUGACAUCUGAGCCUCAGAGCAGUGGCCUCCAUAGAACAGCAGCUUGCCGGUCUUGGGAAUGGGACGGCCAUGCUCGGCCUGGGCCAGACUUGGCCAUCAAAAUCACUUCCAACUCAAGGACACCUCUAUGUUUCCUUCACUGGUCCUUGCUAAGGCUUUCCACCUCAGUUGACACCAUGCUACUAAGAUCUGAUGUCCUUUGAGGGACCAGGGGCUAGAGGAAAAAGGGCAAACUCCUUCCUGCAUUUGUCAAGUGUCUUCUUCCCUACAUGCUGAAGUCCACUGAGGUUUACUAAGACUUAGUGAAGGCUUGGAUGGGAACCACAGACCUCCCCCUACCUCUUCUGUGUAGGAGAAUGCUGCCCCAGCUGUUGUAAACUGACAGAUAUGGCACAGCUGAGAUGAGAUUCAGCAUGACAAAGAUUAAAAACCAUGGAAGAAUCCUCCUGUGGCCCUAUGCCAGCCCAGGCCUCCUCCAGCCCUGAGCUUGGAGCUUGGGAUUAGGAACCCAGGCUCUAAUGGACAAGGACAAACGCACUUUAGCAGAGGAACUGAGGCUCCAGAGGGAAAGGGCGGCCUGGCUGAUAAACCACUGGCAUGCAGUGACUGGAACAAGGUGGCUCUGUGGACACUUGGUGUAGCACCAGGCUUCAUUUGUUCUAAGAAAUGAGCAAGAAGAAACAUGUGGGCUGGGGAGAUGGCCCAGAGGGUAGGAAGACCUGCUGUGCAAGCAUGAGGACCUAACACAGUCUGUGCAAUAGAUGCAUACACAGUGUGAGUUUCUGCACUCCCAGUGCUUCUGCAAAGAACAUUCUGAAGAAUAAAAGCUAAGUGCCAUGUGUGUAAGUAGGUGUGCAAAGCACGUGUGCACGUGUGUGGGGACAGCAGACUCUCUAGGGGCUCACAGGCCAGACAGCCUGGCGUACACAGUGGAAAAACAACAGAGACCUGGUUUCAAACAAGGCAGAGGUUGUCUUCUGACCUCUACACGUGUGCUAUGGCAUGUGUGUACCUGCAUUCACACACACUGUACACACAAUAACAAAGAGACAGUCAAAAUAAGCAUGCAAAUUAGAUCAAAGGAACUUAAAACCAGCAAGCUUUAAAUAAACUAUUCGAACAGAAAUGGUGAUGUUGGAAAGUUAGGGUGACUGAUUCUGCCCAGUGCAGCCGACACUGAGAAUCUGGAGGCCAAUAGCAAUUGUUGCACUUUGGUGGGUCCUGUCGUCCCACCGCUAGCACACUACUGGUGCUUUACCACAAAUGAGUUUGCCACCGCCUACCCUGCUUUAGUCCACAGUCAAGCUUGCCAACAGCACCAUGAUUGGCCUCCCUGACUUCCCCAGACCCCUCAGUCAUACUGUUCAUCACAGUCUAGAGAAUUUCCAGGGAUUCUGUUGCUCCUGGGUUUCAAAUUCUUGAAUACUUCUACCCUGUAUGAAGAAUAAAAGCUAAAUGUCUUAUAUGUAUGUAGGUGUGCACACAUGUGUGCAUGUGUAUGGAGGCCUGAGGUCAACUUUGGGUGUCAUUUUUCAAGAGUCAUCUAUUUUGGGGUUGGGGGUAGACAGGGUCUCUCUACAUAGCCCUGGCUGUCCCAGAACUCACUAAGUAGAUCAGGUUGGCUUUGAACUCAGAGGUCUGCCCGUGUCUGGAGGGCUAAAAGCAUGAACCACCACACCCAGCUAAUCUACGGUGUUUUUUGUUUUUGUUUUUGUGUUUUUGUUUUUUGAAGAUUGGUUAUUCUGGAAUUUGAGGCUCACCAAUUCAGUUAGGAUAACUGACUAUUGGGACCAAGGAUGCUACCUUAACCCCUAGACAGGGAUACUAAGGUACAGAAAGGUGGCAUAAAUUACCCUAUGAAGACCUAGCUGCCCCAGAUAAAGAGCUCCAGCAGGAAGCAGGUCCUGUCUCCCUCCAGCCUCUGUUGUCUCAUUGGUUCGGUUCACACACACUCUUACUUCUUCAGCAACCUAGGAAUAACACGGGGAUUUCUCUAGACUAGUGGGUUUUAACUUUCCUAAUGCUGUGACCUUUAAUACAGUUCCUCCAUGUUAUGGUGACUUCCAAUCAUAAAAUUAUUUUCAUUGCUACUUUGUAACUAUAAUUUUGCUACUGCUGUGAACGGUAAUGCAACCCCUGUGAAAGGUUGUUCUCCCCUACCCCCCAAGGUGUCGCCCCACAAGUUGAGAACUACUGCUCUAGACGCCUCCUCCUCCCAGGGUUCUGGAGGUGAAUUAGUCACACACUAGUAACAAUGACCCACAGGCCUUUCCUGCAGUGGCUCCCCUGGCCGGCCCAGAGCUGCCCUGGGGAAUGCUCAGACUGCAGCAUGAAGGGCUGUUUUCCUUCUGCCUAGAAGCUGUAGUUCCUGGAAGACAGAGGUGCCCAAGACUACGUCCAUACCAUGAAGGUCUGGCGAGCCAAAGGUGCUCCCAGUUUGAUCAGGAAGCUCCAGGUGCUCUCACCUAGGGAACUGGCUUGGGGAGGAAAAGACACUCACUCCGAGUGUCCUGGAGCCCCCAGAGCACCACUGCCUCUCAAAUGAGGCAUGGAAAAUCACCAAGUGGCAUGUGAAUGCUUCCCUGGCAUGCUCCCAGGGGAACUCCUAUUUUUUCUCUUCCCCAGGAGAUCAAACCUAUUAUGUCAACACUGGGCCAUGAUCUGAGUGACCUUCAGAAGACGGCUUAUUACAUAACCCAAGGAUGGAGACUGGGGACGAGAAGGGAAUCAGGCAUCUGUGGAGGGUUUUCCUGAAGCACGGAUUCCCCACCAAGGUUCUACAGUACCAUGGACACAUCUUUCUCUAGGAAAAUAGGAAGGCCAUGUGCCAAUCACUCCAACCGCAGCCUGCUGCACGGCUGGCAGGACUUGGCCCACCAACACCACAAGCACAGCAGGGUGACCAGAGCUUCAGAGUAGCUGUAUCAGGGAAGCUGACCCAUGAGCACAGGAGAAAAACUGCAGGCUCUUCAGCUGCAGCUGCUUCUUUUUGCAAUUGCUUUUUCUUAAAAUGUGCGGGUGUUCUCAUGUGUAUGAGGAUACACAUAUGUGCAGAGAAAGGCACCGAGCGUCUGCUGUCACUCUCCAUCUCAUCUUUAUGAUUUUUUUGUUUUUACGUAUAUGAGUAUUUUGCUCAUAUGUAUGUCUGUGCAUCACAUGCAUGCCUGGUGCCCAGGUAGGUCAGAAGAGGGCACCAAAUCCCCCAGAGCUUGAGUUAUAGACAACUAUGAGCCACUAUGUGGGUGCUAGGAAUCAAACCCAGGUCCUCUGUAAGAUCAAGUGUUCGUAACCACUGGACUAUCUCUCCAGGCCUCUAGCUCCUAUUUUUCACCUAAGCUAGCAGCUAGCACAGCCCAAUGAUUCCCCAGUCUCUACUUUCUGCCAGCCCGGACCACAAGCAGCUCCUCCCAUGGGUGCUGGGCUCUGUGCAACAUGCACUCUUAACCACUAUGCAAUUCCCACCUUUCUUUCUAUUUCUUUUUAUACAGCAGUGUUCAAUUGAAAACUACAUGCUAGGUCUAUAGUGCAUGACUUCAUUCUAUUCUCCUGAGAAAAGUGAGAGUAAUUCCAUUUUACAGACGCAGAGGGGCCAAGUGUGUGCCUAAGGGUGUACAGAUCAGAUCAGAAAUGGUAGGAUAGGGAUAGAGCCCUGACUUACCUGACUUCAAAACUCACAUUACAUCCCACAAGGAUCAGUCACUGACAAAGGCCAGGUGAUAGGAGAGGGACUCACCAGGGCCCAAGCCUUCCUGGGGUUUCCAACUCACUAUAUGGCUUUGAGCAAGUCUCUGACUGCCCCUGCAUGCUAACAACCAUGUCCUCCAGUGAGGGAUAAACUAGCACAGGAGAAGCAGAUGGUACUGAACCACUGAUUGGGCAGCAGGGGCUGCCAAGCUGGCCCCCUCUCAGUUCACCUAGACAGACUGCCAUGAUUGGUUAGCAAUGGCUGUCAAGGGCAUGGACGAAGGCAUGUUAGGUUACUAUGCCCAGAGCUGCCACAGCUCAGCAUCCACAAACUCCAAGAACACAGGUUCUCUGUUGGGGUCCAGAACAUCUGGAGCGUCCAUCCCCUGUGCUGCUAGGUUUUGUCUUCACUUCUUCGAGCACUUCUUUCGUUCCAAUCCAAUCCAGAGCCUCACACCAGCCUGCACUUUAUGUUGUAGAUCCAUCUCUAAAUUCCUCCCCCUACCAUCAAUAGGAGGUGUUUCCCACCGCAGUAGCGAGGCCAACGAGGGGCCAAGGCAAUAGGCAAGGCAAUUGGUGAGGAACUGGACACUGACAGAGUAGACAAGAGAAGACCACAAAGGCUUAGGCCAGCUAGGCCCACAGCCAGGGAUUUGGUCAAGAAAAUGGAAGGCUGACCCACAACUGCCAAGUCCAGCAGCAUGAAAAGCCACUCCACAUGCCAACUAGAAGUGCUACUGUCCCCUGUUAAAGGCAACUCCACUGGUACACAGAACAAAGAGAAAGAAGGCUGGCUGAAAGGAGUUUCAUCCAAGGGUGACUCUACCCAGCAAAGAGCCAGGAGUUAUCACUAAGCAUCUGUUAUAACCCCUGCUGAUGGGACAGCAGCCCGCCGACCAACAGAGCCCUGUGGCCCCGUUCCACCAGGCUCUCUAAACUCACGGGCAGGACCCCAGCUCCCAGUGGCUCCCUACCAUAUGCCAGCAUGCUUAUUUCUACCUCGUGCUCUUUCCUGCCCCACAACACCCCAGCCAGCUUUCAUGAGUUUCUCAAACAUCUGCUAACACAACAGUUGCUGCCUGUUCUGGGGCCUCCUCGGGGAGCUUGAGGGUGCAAUGUGUGGGCAGCUGCAAUCAAUCAAACCUCUGUUUCGGCAUCCUGAGCCCUCCCUAUGAAUGUCUUGCCUCUGUUUGAAGCUCUGUUGAAAAAUACAAUUUGUUUUCUCUUUCAAAUUGACCAGCCUGGAGUUAAAAACACAGUACCCAGGGGCAUGGCAUUCAUGAGUAAUAUUAUUAAUUGUUGAUUUUCUGAAGUCUUUGCUCACACACAUGAUCCAUGUCUGAAUGAUACUACAUGACUCGGGACUUGCUGGGAGACAAGCAAUGUUUGGUGGUCAGGCCAGGUCUCAAAUGAAGCAGUUACUAUCAAUGUCGGGGAAAGUCUGGCUGCUAAACAGCUCUCAAUGCUCAGAUCAGACCCGUCCUCAAUGCUGGCCACUGGCAUUGUGUAAACAGGAGGCUGCGGCUUUACAGAACACCACAGACAACGAGGACCUCAGAAGACCACUUGAGGAGGAAAGCAUGGGAAGAGAUCUGCAAGACCAGACCCAGGCAGGACUGGGUCACAUGGACUCCCACGCGCCUUUGAGCAGCUCACAUCACAGAGCAGAGGCCAUAACUAAAAAUACAAGGAAGGUAUUGUUUCUCUUCCUGGGUCUCCUUACUACAAUCAACCUUCUUCACUCUAGGUCCAGCCGGCUGUUAGCUGCAGCCUUGUCUGUGGCUCCUUGGCCACAAUCUUAAUACUGAGAUUUUAAGACAACAUGACCUAAGACAAUUGGAAAGCAACCUUUUACUGCAAUUUUACCUUUACUGCUGAGAGGAUGAGGGCCACCACUGCUGGUUAAGACAGCUGUGCCCCAGAGAUAUGGAAGGAGACAGGGUAGCUGUGGACCCUGGGGAUAUUUUAGCCCUGGUUACAAGAGUGCUUGCUGGACAUGGGGAGGGAAUACUCACAUAUGGCUAACUCCCUGUGGAGGGAGGUAAAUCCUCUUCUGUCACCAUUUCACCACCUUAGCAGGCAUGCUGGUGGCCAGAGAACUGCUUCCUUACCAUUUGCAGGAGAAGAGGAUAAGGCAGAAGGAUGAACAAACAAGGGGUGGUAGAUGGCUAAGACAGAAAGGGACACUAGGACAGGAGGAAGCAAGAAAAGCAGCAUCUACAAUAGCAACAGACUGUACCCUGUGGUUGUUCACACCUCCUCUCUAGCCCUAACAAGCACAGUUUGAACUGUGCCUGUCAGCACUCACCAUUCAAGAAACAGUACACUGGGUAACAUGGGUGUGGUGGGCAUGAGUGUAUGGACAGAUAUACAAAUGUUCAUAAAAAACUAUAGAUAGAUAUACACAUAGAAAGAUAGAGAUAAACAUACAUGCAUGCAUGCACACUAUAAUGAAUAUUAUAUUGGUGAACUGUAAUGUGCUGGAGAUCACUGAAAAAUGCCUGGGGAGUGGGGUUACUCCCCACUUCCAGACCCAAGAAAGUAUGUCUCAGUGUGUGCUCUCCAAGAUGGCUUGUUUGUAUUGUGCAAACUAGCACAAGGUGAGCCAUUUCCAACAGGGGCCACUGUCCUUUAUCCCAUGAUGUAAAGGUACCUGCAGUGGCAAUGGGAAGUCUGAAGCUCAUCCAGAAAGAUGAACAGGAACUCCUGCUAUCUGCCUCCCUGACUUGAUAUUUUCUAUCUGUUGCUUCUGUCUGUCUAUCUGCUACUGGCUGUUUAUUCUUUUAUUUGGAUUUACUAUAUAUAAUAAACUCAUUCUUUUAAAAGAAAAAACACAGCUAUCAAAAGCAUUCUCCAGAUUAUAUAUAGCACAUGCACACACGCACACAUACACAGACACACAUGCACAUGAACACUCAAAUAUAAACUCACAUUAAAUACACAUUGGCUAUUUCCCCAAAUCCCCCCUCACUCCUGUGUUGGUUGUAGACCUGCUACACAGUACUGGUCAGCAAACUGCCUAGGGCUCUAGCAACAUAACCCCUUUUCUGGAGCCUUCCAAUUCACCAGCACCCCUAGAUAUGGAUAUAGAAGUCACUACUCUGUCCAGAAAGGUUCUGGCAGGACUAGGAACCAGCAGAGCCCCAGUACCCUCUCAGGGUUGUAAUAGAUAAGCCCUGACAUAAUACAGGCUCUGUCAGGGAGCUUGUGCCUAUGGCGUGUGCUCCUCCUAAACCAAGGGGUAAUGGAGACUAGGGCCUUGGGGUCUGGACCUCUGAGCUCUUUACCCUCUCCUGCUAUCUGGCUUUCAGCUCUCAUCCUAACCAGGCCUCUUUUCUAUGGGCAGAUUAGAGAGCUCUGGCUCCCACCAGCUAUUGUAAAGGCCAAAGGAAAGCCCCACAAGUUCACCACCCUCAGGGUCUGUUCCUGGCCCCAGUGGGCCCCUAAAGGGAGUUGGUUUAUUAGAACACCCAGCUGCUCCAAAGGUCUAACCAAAAAGGCAAAGUACCUUUAUCUAAAGAGUUUAUACACCUGGUCUCAGUGGCCACAUGUAAAGAGGUUUCUUCACAAGAACAUGAAAGUGGAACAAAUAUACGAACCAAGAUCAAAGACCUACGAACCAGUUAAGAAGGCAGCUUGAGGAAGAAAGGGCUGUGCCAAGCCUAUCCUACAGCUAUCUUCCUCCCAGACAUGUGGACACUGUAGUUCUCUAAGCAGCUAAAGGCCUCUAGUAAAGCCACAGCAUGCAGAGGGUACCAGCCUCAACCAUCCUCUGGCAAGGUUUGGUCUCUGUACACCAGUGACAUGCCUUCCUCUUGUGAACCCAAACCCAGAGCCCUACCAUAUCCUGGCUGAUUCCAGGACUCUUAAAAAAAAUGUGCAUGAGUGUUUUGCCUAGAGGUAGGUAUAUAUGCCUAUCACGUGCUGCCUGAUGUUCCUAGAGGUCAGAAGAGGGUAGCAGUUCCCUUGGGACUGGAGUUGUAGGUAGUUCUAGGCCACCGAGUGGGCACUGGGAGCCAGACCAUGUCCUCUACAAGAACAGCAAAUGUACUGAAGCCAUCUCUCUAGGCCCCUAACCCAGGACUCUUUACAGAUGCAUAAGGACUAUCUCAGUGGUUAUCAGAUCCUUUGGCAAGUAAGGCCUACCUACUGAGAAUGUAUACUACUGCAUGGAGAGCCGAAGCAGGCAGAGCCACAGAGGGCUGGCCAGAGGUAGAUGAUGGCGGGACAUGGACCAUGAUCCACAACUCCAUCCUCAGGGUCUAACCUCUGGUGGAUAGGGUGCAUAUUCCCAGGUCAUCCUCUCCUUUCCCUGAGCUUUGUACCACCUACAUAGUCAAGGAGUCAGCCAAGGCGACAAGCAGAACCAGGGUGGCCUUCUCAGGCUCCAUCCAGUACGCCUUCCUGGAUCUUGGAGGCCUGCCUGGAACCAAUGAGGCAAGCCAUACAUUUGGGUACAACCCACUGAGCAAUAUAUAUAUAUAAAUAUAUAUAUAAAUAUAUAUAUAUAAAAAAUAUAUAUAAAUAUAUAUAUAUAAAAUUUUUUUUGGUUCUUUUUUUCGGAGCUGGGGAUCAAACCCAGGGCCUUGCGCUUCCUAGGCAAGCAUAUUUUUAAACAGUGUCUACAUAUGUGAGGCCAGAAAAUGUCUCCCACAAUGCAGUGCUGUUACUCCAGCUUGUGGCUAGUAAGAUCUAAUAACACAUGUAAGCUGCCUUUAUUACCUCUCUGGCUUAUUCACUAAGAAAACAGGCUUGGCAUUAAAAAGUAACUGAGGCUAUGUAUCACACCCAGAACUUAGGGCUCAGAAGUCACCCAAUGCUGUCCCCUUUCAACCUAUUUCAGUCUAUCUGGAGAGAGAAACUUCCUCUUGGCAUCCAACAUAUGUGUUCAGUUACAGUCCAGGGGGGUAAGGCAGAAAGAU